AGCGAACGUUGGCGGCGCGCCUAACACAUGCAAGUCGAACGCGAAAGGACCUCGGUCCGAGUAGAGUGGCGCACGGGUGAGUAACACGUGAGUAAUCUGCCCUUUAGCCUGGGAUAACACGCCGAAAGGCGUGCUAAUACCGGAUGAGACCACGGAAUCUUCGGAGACUGUGAGAAAAGGCGGGGUCCGCAAGGACCUGUCACUAGAGGAUGAGCUCGCGGCCUAUCAGCUAGUUGGCGGGGUAAUGGCCACCAAGGCUAAGACGGGUAGCUGGUCUGAGAGGAUGAUCAGCCACACUGGAACUGAGACACGGUCCAGACUUCUACGGAAGGCAGCAGU
rnacentral:rRNA from 1 species